rnacentral:rRNA from 1 species
CCGUUUGUACACACCGCCCGUCACACCAUGGGAGCGGGUUUCACCAGAAGUAGCUAGCCUAACCUGCUAAAGGGGGGCGGUUACCACGGUGAGAUUCGUGACUGGGGUGAAGUCGUAAACAAGGUACC